GACGAACGCUGGCGGCGUGCUUAACACAUGCAAGUCGAACGGAAAGGCCCUGCUGUUGUGGGGUGCUCGAGUGGCGAACGGGUGAGUAACAAGUGAGUAACCUGCCCUUGACUUUGGGAUAACUUCAAGAAACUGGGGCUAAUACCGGAUAGGUGCUCCUGCUUCAUGGUGGGGGUUGGAAAUUUUCGGCGGUUGGGGAUGGACUCGCGGCUUAUCAGCUUGUUGGUGGGGUAGUGGCUUACGAAGGCUUUGACGGGUAGCCGGCCUGAGAGGGUGACCGGCCACAUUGGGACUGAGAUACGGCCCAGACUCCUACGGGAGGCAGCAGUGGGGAAUAUUGCACAAUGGGCGGAAGCCGGAUGCAGCAACGCCGCGUGCGGGAGGACGGCCUUCGGGUUGUAAACCGCUUUCGCCUGUGACGAAGCGUGAGUGACGGUAAUGGGUAAAGAAGCACCGGCUAACUACGUG
rnacentral:rRNA from 1 species